UGCUCUCGGCUAAGUCUGAUCCUUAAUAUAAACACACUGUAAAAUUUGAUGUGCAGACAACUAAAGCAGCAAACCCUUAGUUGAUUGUGGAAAACAUCUGCUGAGUUGGUUUUAACCCUUUCAGUGUGGUGAAGCUGAGUCACAUGAAACCAUUGGUCUGAUUUUUGCUGUUGGGUAUGUUUCUCAGAACCCUCAUUAUUAUAUUUGCCUUUAAGAUAAGCAUUUUAUUUUACUAAAUUUUACUUUUAAAAUACAGAUGUUCCUGAGAUAGGUGGAGAAAUAAUCUAUAACCUUUUCUUUUUAAUAUGUUAUCUCCGAAGUCAGCUAAAUUUAAAAAAAAAAUCUUUCAUUAAUCACUAGGAUACAAGGACCAUCGAAUUCAUCUUUGUAUUCACAGCACACAGAAAAGUGAGCACAAGACCCUUCAUCCUUCCUUAAAUAGCUUAGUGUGUGUGUGUGUUUGUGUGUGUGUUACACAAACAAAUAGUUAACAAUUGUUCUAGCAUCAUAUCGGUGUGAUUAUAAGAUCAGAUUCAUGUUGUGGUGGGUGAUCUUUUGGUCUUUACCAGGUCAGAGUUCAAAUGAAUAGUGAAAUCCUUGAUCGUUUGACUUUCAGGGUCAUUUACUCAGCCAUUCCUGAAGGAUAUUUCAUUCUACAGGAAGAAAACUGAGUUCAUUUGUUGAAAGGCCAACUGCAAGAGUUCCUUUUAGGAGCCACAGAAGUUCUUUUCCACACUGCACCCUGCAGGACCUGCCAAGAGGAUCCACCACCAUGGUGGGGCAACAAUUAAGCAGUACUAUCGAGUUGAUUAAAACGAGCCCAGAAACAGAGAAAAGUAACACCACAGUUGGCAAGUGACAGCUAAAUAAAUCUACCAGGACAGAAACUCUGGAAUGAAUGGAAGGAAUGUAAAUAAUUCAGUUUUAAUUUCAGAAGUUUCAAAACAGGUAAUGGCAAGCUUACCCAUCACUUUCAUGGAGAAGAUAAUAUGAAUACUCAUAGACGUGAAUAGAUGCAUGGUUAACAUUAGAUUUUCCAUGGUUGGGAAGUGAAGACGGAAACCCAGACAUGUGACCAGCAGGGCAAUAUUGGUAGAAAGUUAUCAGUGCCCCCUUGAACUUGAACUUGAAAGUGUGUUCACACCUAGAGUACUAUUAAAAGAGAAAUCAAUUUAAAUUAACACACUAAUUUGUUAUGCUGCUAUAGAAGUUGUUAUGAGGCAUGUCAGAGGUGCAGUAUAAAACUUAACAGUGAACUUUAGACAGUGGGUUCACGCUGUGUCAGAGGUCAUGUGUUGUUGGACUGGACAACUUUACCCUUUGCAAUGGCUUUAGCCAGCGGCUCAAAGUUUAAACCAUAGUGUUUACUGUUUAUAGUCCAGUCAGAUAGUAUGACACAGUAACCUUCUAGGAAACAGCUAUUGGCAACUGUUCUAUCCUAUAUUUAUGUUCAUAAAGCAACCCCUCCCUUUAACUUUCUGAUAAUGAGAUUUUAAUACACACACACACACACACACACACUCACACACAGAUAUGUCUGUUGUGGUGUCUGAGACCUUUUAUAUAACAUACAAUAACUGGUUUGAACGUUCAAGGCACAGAGACCUUUGUAAAAUGUGUGAAGGAGAAAAGAUCCCAAUUUUAAAUGCCAGUUUGGUCCCGGCUGUUUCUCCACACAUGCGUGGAUACCAUCUCACAGGGGAAACUUGCGAGAUGCACUGGAAUUUGAUCCUCAGUCAGUGCACAGCCCCUGAAUAAGAUAUUGGUUCUGGGUCUGUACAGCCGUUUGUUUUAUUUAUGCUGAUGAUACUUCAAAAACCUGGUGUGUGUUCAUUUGUAAAUAAGCAAUAAUUCAAAACCAGCCCACUAACUAAAUAGUUAAUGCUUAUCAAUAUUUAUUCUCUCACAUUUUUUGAUAUUAUAUGUUCAUCUUUAAAAACAAGUAUAUGAAGCAAGGCAUUAUUUCUCUCCAAAGAUGUGAGCACUAACAGAAACAGACAAAAGUUAUAUUUUUCAAUAGUUAUACAACUGGUGAUGACAUGUAAGUAUUUAAGCCAUAUCGGAAUCCAAAGUUCAUGGUCCUAAUAACUGAGGUAAGUGCUUAACUAUGGUAAGUGCUUCCACAUUCAUUAUUUUAUUUGAGCCUAUAAAACUUUACGAGUGGGGUAGAGCAAGCAUCCGCUCACUUUACAGGCAAUGAAAUGGAGGGUUAGACAUGCAUAGGGCCAGUAAGCAGCAGGGCAAUGUCUUAAGUCUGGACCUUCUGGCUUCAGUGCACAAACCCGAUGUUAUGAGCUCCCGGAAGUCAUGAGAUACAAGGUACUAGACACAACCUGUCUGUGACUCGCUAUGAAGGACAGCAUAAAGUCCCAUUAAUUUCCAAACAUAAAGCCUGCAAGGACUCUUUUAAAGACUAGAAAGAUUGAAAGGAUUUCUUUCAUUUCCUGGGAUGGGCAUCCUCAGCCCAAAUGCAUGUGAUUUGGCCGCCACCUUGCAAAUCUGCCAUUAACGGCAAAGAAAAACAAUGAGUAUAAGCGCUUGCUUCCUUCUGGCUUCGACUUGGAAAUUUUCUCAACUCUAUUUUAGACUGGAUGGGAUCUAUGUUCUGGCAUCAGCAAGCGGCAGUAAGUUAGUGGGAUAUAUUAAUCACUCAUAAAAUGACAACGCACAGCAGCAGCAUGUGUCCAGUGCUGCAGUGCAUAACAAGCACGGAGGAGAAAUAGGUCUCAAAAGCCAGCUUAAAACAAGGGAGAGCUACAUACUCAAGCAUUAGAUCCCCAUGACAGGCAGAGGCCUAUAGGUGAAGAGACUGUGAUUUUGGUAAUAUCUGCAGCUUUCAUUCCUGAAUCUCUUAGAAAAUAUUUCCAAACUGCAUUCUUCUAUGGUUUCUCAGGUGCUUUAUAUUAAACGCAAUUGCACACCCCCCUCCAUUUAGUGAUUAAAAUCUACCAUUUGAGAUAAAAUAUGGGUCUGUAUGGUGGACCUCUUAACAUAGACUCCUUUUGAGUGUCCAUGACUCACCUGGGCUGGUCUUAGAAGAGCUGCCUAUAGAUCAGAAAGUAAGAAUUCAUAUAGAAGUAGCUGGCAUAAUCAAGAGAGGGCUCACUUCCCGGCUGGAAGUUGUGUUACUCUUUCUGUACCCCCUCCUUCAAUCAACUCUCCUAGUGAUGUGCAGAAUUCACUUGGAUACCACAUAGCACCAAGGAGAGACCAGGCUGACAGGUAUCUGCCUUAGUACAUAGUUCACGGAGCGGUGCAUGGGACUGCAGGACCUUGUUCCCACUUCGGCAAGAACAGAAAACAGUUUCUCUCAUGUUCUCUGCCCCAACCAAUAUCAUGAGCAUAGUGGUUCUGAGGUACAGAGAAACCCAUGCUUCCUGUUAGGGACUCUUCUCUAAACACUGGAGACAGCAAGGAGGAUUCUCCUUAAGGAAGUAAGUGCUUACUGAGUGAGCAUAAGAAACUGAUUUCAGAUUCUUAGCACCUAUGUAAAAAAUAUAGUUGAGUCUAUGCAGGAGCAUGUGUGUGUGUGUGUGUGUGUGUAUCAAUCCUACACUACACCUCUAAUACACAUGUACAAAGCCUGCAUAUAUCAUAUCCCAACACAGACACAAAGACAUAUACAACAUAUUCAAGAACAGCUUUGUAAAAUAAUCUGUUUAGGUGGAUAGGAUCCCUCUUGAGCAUCUGACUGUAAUGUCAUUGGUUCAAAACCUGCCUGGCUCAUAGAACAUUCCAGAGGGAUUAAAAUGAAUAUUCUUCUGUCCAGAAAGCUUAACACCUAUGUCCUAGCCUCUUCGCUUUUCUGCAUUUUGUAUUCUCUUCCUGUGAUUCUUGCUUCUAAGCAUCAAGUAACCUGUAUUCAUGGUAGAGCAUCAUACGAUGUAAGGAAAGGCACAUUGCAAACUACUUUACAACACUUGCCAUUCUCAGCGUGAACUGGAAAGUACAUCAUAGCAUCUACAUAUGCAUAAAAAAUUAAAAAUUAAAGACGCUUCAAAUAACAUCUCCAUUUCUAACCAAAGACGUCAUGUAGGAAGCCCAUUAAUAGUAAGGUUUUGCUCUUGUGCAUAAUUUUGCACUUCUAAAACACUUCCCCCUAUUUAAUCGUAUUUGAUCCUCAUGACAACCGUGCUCAAAAUGUAGGGCAAAUGUUAGCUUGAGGGACAAUGUGGAGGGGUAGAGAGUGCUCUGAACCAGAGUCUGGAGACCGGAUUAUGUCAGUAAUUAGCAGAGCUAGCACAGGCAAGACCUUAACCCUCUCUGGACUGUUUUUUCCUCAUCCUAGCACCAGAGUUUAGCCUGUAGAAUUUCAAAGUUUUUGUCAAGUAGGAAAAUCCAGUCACAUGUGAAACAGAGAGAUAUGAGGAGAUUAGGUAGGUGAUAACAUCAGUAGAUGAUAACACUGUGAUCAGGAGCAUAACCCAAACUGUGACCAACAGCCAGGAAAUUAAGAGAAGCAUGAGUUGAAAUGAUACAACAUUGGCUUUGUGGUUUGCACACUAGCCACAGUGGACCUACUAUACUAUGGACUAACAGAUCUUUUUAAAAAAUAUAUCUAUUUACUCUCUUUACAUCCCAAUAUCAGCUGUCCCUUUCCUCACAGAACCCCAUCACUCAGAUCUUCCCUCUAUUCCUCUCUUCCCUUUUCCUUUGAGAAUGGGAGCCUCACCUCUCCCCAAAACACACACAUCAAGUCACUGCAUAACUCACUGCGUCCUCUCCCAGUUAGGCCAGACAAGGUGGCCCAGUUAGGGGAACAGGAUUCACAGGAAGGCAGGUAUCAGAUUGAGGGACAACCCCUGCUCCACGUGUUGGGAGACCUGCAUAGAGACCAAGCAGCACAUUGGCUACAUAUGUGUAGGGGGUCUAGGCUUAGCCCAUGCUGGCUCUUCAGUUGGUGGUUCAGUCAGGCCAACAGUUCUUAAGUAACCAUACUGAUGUAAUUUCCUCUCAGGUUGCAGAUACAGAAGCAGAGAUUUCAUGCUUUAGAGUUUAGGAAAUCUAGCUUGAGUCACCAGAUACUAAUGGACAUCCUGACAUUUAAAUGUCAUAGGUUAUUUCAUAACUAUCCACAAGUAGAUUCUUGGCCAUUUCUCGAGAGUGUUAUUAAUGUUAUGGCAUACUAAACAUUUAAUAAGUUUUGGUUGAAUCUUUGACUCUCUCUUGAGUCACAUUCAUCAUUUAUAAAAUUGGUAUUUUCACUUAAAUUUGUUGCAAAGACCAAAGGUAAUGACGAAUUUAAUUUCUGAAACUCAGCAUUUGCCAAGUAUAUUAGUUUUCUACCAUUCUUCCUUCAAGGGGUCAUUUCCAGAUGAAUAAAACUUGCUUCACAGUUACAGUUUCUUCUGGCCAAAAUAUGCUGUCUUGCACAUACAGCUAGUUAAACUUGCAAAAUGCAUUGGUUCAAUAGAAAUCUUAGAAUGUAUGAUGAACUUACUAUUUAUAUGUUUUAAUCAUACUAAAAAGUUCAUUUCUGAUAAUAGAAAAAUAAAUACUUGAAAGUUCACUGAAUCACUAUUCAAUUUUUUUUUAUUUUCUGUAUAAAACAAUUACAAAGCAAUGAUGAAAGCAAUUAAGGACUGUAUGGACAAAGGGAUAUGUCCUUGUUCAUGGCUUGGUGGAAAUUAACAGUGUGAAUAUUGGUGCAAUGUGGAAAGUGUUGGGGUAGUAAGUUCAAGAUGCUUUGCAUAUAUUCUAGAGUCCGCAGAUAUUCAAAUCCCUGUUGCAGAGUGGCGAAUUGUUUGAAUGUGAUCUAAGAGCAUCUUGACAUUUCAAUUGGCCUCCAGGUUGCUCCAGGUUACAGUAUAAGUGUAAUAUACAUGUAAUCUGAUGAUAAGAACAAAAUACAUACGUCUUCAGUACAAACACAAUGUUUGGCUGAAUAUUUUGAUCUUUCUUUCUAUUAAUCUGUGGAUAUGAAAGUGAAGAUAAAAUGGAGAAUAGGCUGUGUUUGCCUUAAUAAAAAAAAUCCUGAAAUUGUAGGAUUUUCUCACACCAGGAAGCCAGGAACUGGGUGUGUAUAUUCAGCAGUCUGGGUGACUGAGUUCACAGCAAGUGGCAUUUGUAUAGCAAUAAUUUUCACUUCAUUUUUAUUGGCGAUGCCUUGAUCAGGCUGAAUACAUGGCUUGAUUUUGUUGUUGUUGUUGUUGAGUGGUUUUUUAUUGUUGUUUGUUUGGUUGGCUUUGUUUCUUUGUUUGUUUUUUGUUUUGUAUUGUUUUGUUUUGAAGAGGCAGAGCGUCUCUGCAAAAUGGCCUUGUUUGUUCAAUAGCUUUCAGUAUUUUGAGGUCCCUUCUUGUGUGCUUCAUAAUUCCUAAGGUUUUGGUUAGGGUUUUAAAAAUAUAGACUUCUGUUUCUCUUUUUGUUUCUGAUUUUUCUCCUCUUUUCUUCCUUCCUUUCUUUCCUUUCUUCCUUUCUUCUUUUUUCUCUCCCUAUCCUCCCUUUAUCCCUCGCUUUCCUCUUCCUUCCUUCCUUCCUCCCUUCCUUCUAGUCUCAUUCUUCCCUAAGUUGAAUAAAGUAUAUUUAAAGAAUAUUGUUAUAUGAUGUCUUAUGUUAAUUUUUCUUGCAGAAACAUACCUUUAGCUUUAGAAAACAACUGAGUUUGUGAAACGCAGUCACGUAGGCUUCAGGGUGGUAAUCCAAAACCUUCAAUCCCCUCCUAUCGUAAUUCACCUUUGCUGAAAACAGCUCCUGGUACGAACUGGAUUUUAGUAAUGUUGUACAAAAAAAUGGUGAGUAGUUUCUUGAAACUGGAAGUUCACUGCAUAGAUUAUUUUGCAGUUUCCCCUUGUGAAUAGGUCCCACUGUAGGUUUCAUUCCAUGAAAGUUGACACAGCCUCUGGUGUGAGGAUGGAGAUUAUUGAAAUGGAACACUCUUGUAACCUGUAUAAUAUGGACAAUUUCCAGCCUAUGAAAUGGUGGAACUUCUAGUUGUCAGCUUGACUCUAUCUGGAAUGAACUACAAGCCAGAUAUGGAAAGUAGAACUUCAAUCCAGAUCUUGAAGCUGGACGACAUAGACUUCUGACCAGGAUCAUGAAAUGGAGAUCUUCAGCCAUAGUGGCCUCAGGAAAAUCGUAGGCCCAGGCAAAGUACUAUGUAUCUUUAAUCCCAAGAGACUGAGGAAAGCAGAUUUCUUAGUUCAAUGCCAGCUGGGGACAAAGGAAGAUCUAAAUCCAGGUGUGACAGUACAUAACUUAGACUACAUCUUCUGCUGGAGACCUACAUAAGGACAUUGGAAAAGGAAUCCUCACGGUUCCUUGCCUGCUUCUUCUAUUUGCCAGCACAUCUAUUGGAACCUACUUCUUUACAACUCCAUCUUCUACAGAAGACCAGCUGAAACAAUUAGACUUGUGGGACUGAACAGCUACUAGAUUCUUGGAUAACCCAUUCAGAGCUGCCCAGUGUUGUGUUAAUUGAACUACAGAUUGUAAAUCAUUACAAUGAAUUUCUUUAGUAUACAGAGACAUUCCAUAAGUUCUGUGUCCCUAAAGAAUCCUGUCUACUGCAACAAUGAUACCUUCAUAAGCAGAUCUUUCUCAGAUUGAGGACAAAGAUCACUGGGAUAACACGGCUUAGCUUCAUACAGGCCCUGGGAUCGAUCUCAGCACACCAAGAUACUUCAACCUAAGAGAUCUCAAAUGAUCAGAACUCUGAUAAUCAAUAUUCUUUUUCCAUCAGUCUCACCCUAAAUCUGCCUAAUCAUUUAUUUAUAAAGAGGGAAUGCGAUUCUUGUCAGUAUCUCCCCACUACUGGGAUCUACAGGCUUAUACAUUUGAUUGUUUUCUUGUUCAGACUAAGUAUUGGUGUGUGAGUGCUGCGGGAAACUCAUCCUCUAAUUAAAUCGCAUAUUCUGUAAUGCCUUUUCAAUUCUUUUUUUUUUUGAACAAUGAGCCUAUGUGUUUCCAUACACAUAACUCUUUAGUGAGUGUUUACAGAGACUUUACUGCAAUUGUUUUCGGUGUGCUCACAUGUGAGUCCUCACUAUUGAAAUGUGACUGUACCGAGAGACAAACAGUGUAUGUUACAUGUGAUAGGGAACUCACAUAGUAAUUAUAUUUUAUCUUAAAUAAGACCAGAAGAAAGUUUAAUUACGACUUUUAAUUAAUACUGGAAAGAUUAAUCAAUCAAUAAUUACAGCAAUGAUGAUGGGAUAUAACUGUGCUUAAUUAGAGGGGGCUGAUUAAUGAUCAGAAUAAACUUUUCAGCUUUCGUGUCUUGAAAAAAAUCAUAAAUGAUGAAUUUUGUUCCUACCACUAAAAUGAAAGGCCAGAAUUGAACAUGCAUGUCCUUGGCAUCUAGGACAUGAAAGAAAAACACUUGGUUGAAAUUAAGGAAUUUAUUCUUUUGCUCAGUUUGUUUUCUAUUGUGUUACUAAUUUCUACAAGUGAGAGAUUAAUGGAAGAAAAUGUGGAUCUCAGGCAGUCUAUGGGAAAAGCAAGAAAAAAGAAAUUUCUUGAGACAGUUUUCUUUGGAAGAUUAUUUCUCAGGGGUGAUCUUUCCAUCUCCAAGGUCAAGACCAGUCUGUGAAUUCAGAUGACAUUCUUAUCAGUUCAUCAUAGGAAUAGAUGAGAUGCAGAAUCUGAUACCUUAAGGACAACGGUUCUUGUUUACAGGCUGAUGACCCCUCUGACUUCUACCUGAUCUGUUCUAAUCAAAUCCAAGUGGCUGCUGGGACCAAUGCCAAUUCUGUCUCAGUGUGAUGCAGUUUUCUUUGGAGACCUGGUAGGAGUUCUCAUUUCAGUGCCAUAUAACUAAUAAGGAUGAAUCCCAGAAUGCACUUGACAGAUGAAGAUACAUGAUAUAGCGUGGUGGCAUUUCAAAGAAAGCAGCAUCUCAAGAAAGAGGCCAAACACAGUCUAGUGCACCAAUGAACACAUUAGCAUAAGAAGCUGUACAGAAAGGCAAAGUAUUUUUAAAAACCACAAGAAAAUCUGUUUGUCUAAAUUGGGAAAUAGCUCAUACUAAAAUUAGCAAGGGACUACACCCAUUUUAUAUUUUCUUCCCUGUAAUUCAUAUGUACUUUUUUCCCCUAAAAGAAAUCUCCCCUGCAAUGGGAAUUUUACAUGCAAAAGGGCUGAACUAAGCAAUUUGUAGACUCCAUUCAUAUUUAUAUUACCCACUACAUUUUCCCAAAUACAUAUAAUUUUCUGGAGUAACUACAAAUAAAGAAAGGACUGCAAAGCCUCACUGUGGGCUUCUGUUAAGUUUUGGCAUGAAGGUGUUAAAAAGGAGAUGAAAUCAUAGCAUAUUUUUGGACCAUCUAUUAUUGAUACAUAUUCACAACAUUUUAUCUGCAUCUGAAAAAAAAUCUUAUCUUUCCAUAGAGUAUCCCCUCUAAUACAUGUGCACACUGAAUGUGUGUUAGCUUUCCAGGAAUAUCACAGAUUUAACAAGAACACAUCCUGUUUCAGUUUGCUUCCCAGAAAGUGAUCAUUCAUUUAAUUAUUCUCAAAUGACUAAUACAUUUAACCAAUUUGUGACAAAUUUGCAACUUUUACUGUCACCUCAGAUAGGAUGGUUCAAUAGGAUGAUUAUCAGGAACAAGGAAAAUGAUAGAUAUAUGACUGAUAUAUUGCCAGCCUUCAGUGUCCUGUUUUCUGAAAACUGAGUAGUUGAGCUUCAAACAUUAACUCUCUAAUACCACAAAUACCUAGUCCUUUUGACAUAACCCAUGCCAUCUUGAAACUAUCUAGAGAUCACAGUGAAUAACUCCAUUAAUGAAAACUCAGAUGUAGCCAAAAGCAGUACAGUCAAUAAAAAGGGCACCAGUUUAGGAGAGAUUUCCCAAAGAAUUGCUUCUAAAGAAAUUGAGAAAAAAAAUAAAAUUCUUUGUAAUUCCACACUUAAAGAUUAUGAGUAAAAGGCUAAUAUGUACCUUUGUGUUUUGUUAUGUCAAAUUUUAAGCAAAAGUAAAUGCAUUAUAAUUUUGUGUCCAAGAACCACACACAAAUUCAGUCUUCUGACCACAGUGUACCCCUGCCAAUGUAUUCAGGAGCAAGGACUGUCAGUGUUGGCUCUGUGGUCAGAAUUUUCAUAACUGAGAGAACUUAUGCAUGUCUCUAUGGGAUGGUUAUACAUUAUUAGAAAGUAAUUUUACCUUAUGUAACAUACAGCCUGUCAUAGUAAUUCAACAUAAAUUCUGUCCAUACUUAAUGUAGGUUUGUACCUUACCAUUGUCCUUUUGUGUACAUUGUGUUGGUACUUCAUAAACAUAUACCUCUUAAGAUCCAAGUGCUUUUUCCUAUUCCGAUGGGGAUCAAAGCACAAGGAGAGAAGGCAGUACUCUGUUCUGCUGAGUUGCAGAUGAUUUGCUGUGUAUAUUAUAUGUAGGAAAUGCUAGUUACGCUAGUGUCUGGACCAAGAGGCAAGAAACUCAUUUCAUUCUAUUAUCUAUUAGUUUCCAGCUGGAGCAUUUACUACUCUUGAGAAAAAGAAUACAGGUAGUCUAAUUUACUUUUCCACACGUAAACGAGGAUGAUCCUUACAGAAAAACAACUUAACAAAGUAUUUUGUCUACAAGAACUCUCAGAAAAUUAGGUACUGUAUGAGGUGAAUACAAAUAACACCGCCAUGUUUCUCGCAAGGUUAUUUUGAUGUAGGAAAAUGCUUUGUAAAUUUAACCAUUAUCUUACUAUACAAUUAAACUCAAAGCAAACUGUUUGUAUGGUCUUCAGAUGUAAUACUGACCCUUUGGGGUACAACUAUUGCCUUCUAGAAAACACUAUGCCUAUGCAUUCCUUCAUAAGUACAGAUGUACUAUUCCCAUUAAAUUGAGAAUGGAGUUUCAAAAAGUAUGUUGUGAGUGGUUGGGGAUUUAGCUCAGUGGUAGAGCACUUGCCUAGCAAGCGCAAGGCCCUGGGUUUGGUCCCCAGCUCCGAAGAAAAGAAAAAAGAAAAAAAAAGUAUGUCGUGAUGUGCAACCUAUCAGACUUAGAUUCGAGUUUCAAGUUAAGAUGUCACUAAACUGCUCCCCUGCCACCACAUUUUUUGACAUUAGACUCAGAGGAAGUGAAAAUACAUACAAUGCCAUGACUGAGAAAUAAAGUAUCUUUUGCCAUGACAUUGAGAAUAAAGAAGCCUUUGUGGACAGGGUAGCAUCUUUGUAAUUUGGUUGGGGGAGCUAUUGUAUAGACUUGAGGCAUGUAUGUCUGAUUACUGAGCAAUUCUUGCCAGAAGGAGUUUUGCCCUGUUAAAUAUUCGAACAUGGUUUUUGACCAAGGGCAAGCCUAGAGCUUUCUUUAGAAAGUGUGUUUGCCUUGUCUUGAAAGGCAAAGCAAGGGUUAUGUAAGCAUUUUACACAUAAGCCCCAAUGUGUGAAUAAAUAUCAAGGCUGAAACAGCAAGGUAUUGAGUGACAGAACCAUGUGGGCCCAGCACAGACACAACUAAAUAUCUUACAGCAGGCAAGAAUGUGGUAUCAGGGGAGCAGUUUAGUGACAUGUUAGUCUGAAGCUCCUAUUUGAGUCUGAUAGAUUGUACAUCUUAUAUGGGAGAUAAAGAGUUAGUAUUUGUGACAGGAGCCAGAAUACAUGAGUUUUACUCUUUCCAAAAUAUAUUCCACACUACUCACAAGCAUGAUAAAUGUGCUAAUUUAAAUCUAGCAAUAAUUCCAAAGGUAACAUUUUUUAUAAUCUUCAGUUUAUUUAAAAAGAACUGGGAACUCAGAGGCCCAGUUGAACCUUUCCAAGUAGGCUUGGCCCAUAGGAUUCCAGAAUAUUGUUCAGUUUUUUCUUCCUCUCUCUCUCUCUCUCUCUCUCUCUCUCUCUCUCUCUCUCUCUCUCUCUCA